rnacentral:lncRNA from 1 species
UGCAGUUUCCUGACGAGCUAUAUAAUUUGUUUUUUAUUAGUUUUUAAAAACUCCUCCCAACAUCUUUCCGACACAUCCGAUGUGACAUCUAAAAAAUUUUCGUUCCCAAUCGCCCUAAAUUGGAGGGCGAGGUGAAAGGCACGAGAGCAUGCAUGUCAGCAGCAGACCAGCAGUCAGUCACAGAGCUAGCCGUGCACAGCAGGAGUGGGGGGCCCGGACCGCAGCGGCUCACCCCCUGUGUAAUCGGCUGUACUGUACUUGUAUACGCGCC